rnacentral:rRNA from 1 species
ACUCCUACGGGAGGCAGCAGUGGGGAAUAUUGCACAAUGGGCGCAAGCCUGAUGCAGCCAUGCCGCGUGUAUGAAGAAGGCCUUCGGGUUGUAAAGUACUUUCAGCAGUGAGGAAGGUGGGUAUGUUAAUAGCAUACUCAUUUGACGUUAGCUGCAGAAGAAGCACCGGCUAACUCCGUGCCAGCAGCCGCGGUAAUACGGAGGGUGCGAGCGUUAAUCGGAAUUACUGGGCGUAAAGCGCAUGCAGGUGGUUUGUUAAGUCAGAUGUGAAAGCCCGGGGCUCAACCUCGGAAUUGCAUUUGAAACUGGCAAACUAGAGUACUGUAGAGGGGGGUAGAAUUUCAGGUGUAGCGGUGAAAUGCGUAGAGAUCUGAAGGAAUACCGGUGGCGAAGGCGGCCCCCUGGACAGAUACUGACACUCAGAUGCGAAAGCGUGGGGAGCAAACAGGAUUAGAUACCCUGGUAAGGCUCU